rnacentral:rRNA from 1 species
AUGGGGUCUCGUGGAAGGAUGUUAUUUGACCUCAAUGAGCUCCCAACAGAAGCUGAUGAAGAAGAAGCUGCUGUUGUUGUGUCCCAACCUCAGCUUCCUGUUCCCAAUAUGUAUCCCUCAAAUUUGUUUCCACCACAAGAAGUGCCUUGGUCACAAGGGAUAUUAAACAACCAUGCCUUUAAUCAUGCAUCUUCUGGUUCAGGUUUUCAGCCUUUUGUUAGAAGUACAGAUUCACAAAAUGUAAAGAAUUCUAUGAAUACAGAAGAGAAUUUGGAUGCUACUGCGGCUUCUACAUCUGUGGUAACUAAUAAUUUAUCUGAUAGUGUUGUGUGUCCUACUGGGCCCUCCAAUCAGGUUCCACAAUCAGUUGAAAGAGAAGAGGGAGAGUGGUCUGAUGCAGAUGGUGCUUCUGACACAGCAGGUAGUAGUGUCAGCAACAAGGAAGAAUCUGCUGGUACUGCAAGUACUCAAGUGAAAAGAGAAUCCCAGGAGAGUGGACCUGCUAUUGUUAAAUCUACUGAUGUGAUUAAAGAUGACAUUGCUCCUGAACCUGGUGACACUGAAAUGUCUGAUGUGUCUAAAGGUCCAGUCCUUCAUGGUCUGACAGGACUAGAGAGCAUGAAAACGUCUGAAUCUAAAGGAAGUCAACCUGUGGAUGAUUUGGACCAGUGCACUAAGUCAAAGGAUGUCAGAGGAGUAGAAGCCAGUUAUGCAUUGAAGUGCACGAACAACCCUGCAAAGAGACCUAAGUUAGAUGAUCACAAAGUUGCAAUGCUUGGUAAAAAGCGAGCGAGGCAGACUGUGUUCAUCAAUGUUGAGGAUGCAAAACAAGCUGGCACAAUGAAGACAAUUACACCGAGGAGACAGUCAUCUUUUCCAGCACCAAUUGUUACACGUACCGUGAAAGAAGCUUCUCGUGGUGUUGGUGAAAGAGCUGCAGACAAGCAGAACCAACCAGUCAUCAGGGAUCAGAGACAAUCUGAGAUGAUUGGUCCAGAAAGAAGUAAUUCUGCAGAUCCUUGUGACCAAAAUGGAGAAUCUAAUGGUGAUUUUGAGUUGGGAUCUCACGGCAGGUCAAAGAAAAUGAAUGCCGAAGAACCCCCCUCAGAUAGUUACCAACAAUCUGUGCCAAGGCAGGCCUUUUCAAAGCAGCCCACGGAUUCCAAGCAGUUUAAAGGCAGACCAGUCUCUUCUCAGAGAGCACUUCUAACAGGACAACAUACUGCAGAUCAGAAGCCAGCUAACAAAAGGUCUCUUGUUCCAAAGAAGCAAGCUUCAGUUAAUAACACACAGUAUAAUGACACAUCUGUUGAACGAUUUAUACGGGAAGUGACAAAUGGCAAGUUCUGGCACAAUCCAGAGGAGGAAGAACUUCAGUGUGUUCCUGGAAGCUUUGAUUCUGCCGAGGAGUACAUUAGAGUUUUUGAGCCUUUGCUUUUUGAGGAAUGCAGAGCUCAGCUAUAUAGUUCCUACGAGGAGAGUCUUGAGGCUGUAUCAAGGGAUGCACAUGUAAUGGUGCGCGUGAAAAGUGUGGAUAGGCGUGAAAGAGGAUGGUAUGAUGUUAUUGUUUUGCCAACACAUGAAUAUAAAUGGACUUUUAAAGAAGGAGAAGUUGCAAUUUUGUCGUCCCCCCGGCCUGGUUCAGCUGCCCAAUCAAGUAGAUCUAAUAGGAAGACCGCUGCUUCAAAUGAAGACGCUGAAGCUGACUGUGGACGGCUUGUAGGUACGGUCAGACGCCAUAUGCCUAUUGAUACGCGUGAUCCCAUUGGAGCAACUAUCCAUUUUUAUGCUGGGGAUUCAUUUGAUUGUAGCAGCGAGACUAAUGUUCUGAGGAAACUGCAACCUCGAAGCACCUGGUAUCUAACGGGUCUUGGUUCCCUUGCAACAACACAAAGGGAAUAUGUAGCAUUGCAUGCAUUCCGCCGUCUUAAUGUGCAGAUGCAAAAUGCAAUUCUUCAGCCAAGUCCAGAGCACUUCCCAAAAUAUCAAGAGCAGCCGCCUGCUAUGCCUGACUGUUUCACUCCAAGUUUUUCUGAUCAUAUCAAUCGUACUUUCAAUGGGCCUCAGCUAUCGGCUAUUCAUUGGGCUGCAAUGCACACAGCUGCUGGUACAAGCAAUGGAGUGGUUAAGAAACAAGAACCAUGGCCUUUCACAUUAGUACAAGGUCCUCCGGGGACAGGGAAAACCCAUACUGUGUGGGGAAUGUUAAAUGUUAUUCAUCUUGUUCAGUAUCAACAUUACUAUGCUGCUCUGCUAAAGAAACUUGCUCCUGAAAGUUACAAGCAAGUUGGUAGUACCACUAACAGCAGCUCAGAGGCUUUUGCCGCAGGGUCUAUUGAUGAAGUUUUGCAGAGCAUGGAUCAGAACCUUUUCCGCACUCUUCCCAAGCUUUGCCCCAAACCACGGAUGCUUGUGUGCGCCCCAUCAAAUGCUGCAACAGAUGAGCUGCUUUCUCGUGUUCUUGACCGAGGUUUCAUAGAUGGUGAGAUGAAGGUUUACCGCCCUGAUGUUGCCCGUGUUGGAGUUGACACACAGUCUCGUGCUGCCCAAGCUGUAUCAGUUGAGCGACGGACGGAACAGCUUUUAAUGAAGGGCCGUGAUGAAGUAAUUGGGUGGUUGCAGCAGCUAAAAGGCCGUGAGCAGCAGUUAUCACAGGAGAUAGGGCUUCUACAGAGGGAACUUAAUAUCGUUGCAGCAGCUGGUAGAUCCCAUGGUUCGGUUGGGGUAGAUCCUGAUGUGCUAGCUCACAGGGAUCGUAACCGUGACAUUCUGCUUCAAAAACUUGCUGCCUCUGUAGAAAGCAGGGAUAAAGUACUUGUAGAGAUGUCAAGGCUGCUGAUAUUAGAAAGCAGGUUCCGUGUUGGCAGCAACUUCAAUCUGGAAGAUGCUAGGUCUAGUCUGGAAGCCAGUUUCGCCAAUGAAGCAGAAAUUGUUUUUACAACAGUGUCAAGCAGCGGGCGCAGGUUAUUUUCUCGCCUUAGUCAUGGUUUUGAUAUGGUUGUUAUCGAUGAGGCUGCUCAGGCCAGUGAAGUUGGAGUCCUCCCUCCACUUGCACUUGGUGCCGCUAGAUGUGUCUUGGUAGGUGAUCCACAGCAGCUCCCUGCCACUGUUAUUAGUAAAGCGGCUGGAACUUUACUCUAUAGCAGGAGCCUUUUUGAGAGGUUUCAGCAGGCUGGUUGCCCUACCAUUUUGUUGUCAGUGCAAUAUCGGAUGCAUCCCCAGAUCCGAGAGUUUCCAUCACGAUACUUUUAUCAAGGCCGCCUUACAGACAGUGAAAGUGUUGUCAAACUGCCUGAUGAGUUGUAUUACAAAGAUGCAUUAAUGGCACCUUACAUAUUUUAUGACAUCUCACAUGGUCGUGAGUCUCAUAGAGGUGGAUCAUCUUCAUACCAGAAUGUUCAUGAAGCUCAGUUUGCAUUGCGUUUAUACGAGCAUCUUCAGAAGCUUGUGAAAGUUAAUGGUGGUAAGAAGGCAUCUGUUGGUAUAAUCACUCCAUAUAAGUUGCAGUUGAAGUGUCUUCAGCGGGAAUUUGAGGAGGUCAUGAAUACUGAGGAAGGGAAAGAUAUCUACAUAAACACAGUAGAUGCUUUUCAAGGCCAGGAGCGUGAUGUGAUUAUCAUGUCAUGCGUGCGUGCUUCAAACCACGGCGUGGGUUUUGUUGCAGAUAUACGGCGCAUGAAUGUUGCUCUUACUCGAGCUAGGAGAGCUCUAUGGGUUGUUGGUAAUGCCAGUGCUCUCAUGCAGUCAGAGGACUGGGCGGCGCUGGUAGCAGAUGCAAAGGCCAGAAAAUGUUUCAUGGACUUGGAUAGCAUCCCCAAGGACUUUCUUGCCAUGAAGAUCUCUUCCAACACUCCAGGAAGGAAUACUUCAAACAACCUAAGGAACUUGAGGACUGGUGGACCAAGACCGAGGCAUCUGGACAUGCUUCCGGACCCCAGGAUUGGCAUGAGGGCUGAUGAGGAUGAGCGUCCUAACUCUGUUCCAAGAAAUGCUAGUUACCGGAAUUUGGAUGACCUGGGACGAUCUGGUGAUAGAUCUAGGGAAAGUUUGCAGUUUGGAGUGGCCAAGAGGCCGAAUUCAUCCAAUGGUUCUCGGAGAGAAGUCUGA